AUGAAGAAGCCCAGAGCGUGCGCAGCCCGGCAGCGCCUAGUGGAUUACAGUAGCCUCCAGGGCCCACCGCCGCCUCCUGCUCGGCACCUCCGGGUUUGGGACCGUGAGACAGCGCCGCUUGCUCCGGCCCCAGCCGAGGGCGGCUCUGUGCCUGCAAGCAGCGCCUGCCUCGGGGUCUGCAGCAGCAGCCGAACGGAGAGGCCAGCCGGGCUCAGGGACCAGGAAGAAGACUGUUCUGACUCCUUGGCUGCUUGGUAACCCCGGCCCUGGUACAAGGAUGGGGAACUCCUUGCUGCAAAUUGCCAUCAAGCACUUCAGGCUACCUGAACCAGCUCUGAAAAGUGAGCAUCGGCUGGUGGCAGCUCCGAGGAAAAGGCUGGGGCUGGCAACGGUCUGGGUACUCACUCUGGGUGGAACCCGGAGGUAGUAACGUUGUCUAUAUAUACCCUGUAGAACCGAAUUUGUGUGGUAUCCACAUAGUCACAGAUUCGAUUCUAGGGGAAUAUAUGGUCGAUGCAAAAACUUCACAUUUCUCCGAAACAGCCAGAAUCGGAAGUGGAGGCCAGAGGCAGCCGGCGGGGCAGUCGCCUCUUUCUGUUUUAUUACCUUGGACCCUAGGAGGAUCAUCUGAGUCCAGUGACUCUAGAGCAGCCUUUUCCUGGAGGAGCUCCUCACCUUUAAAGAGAGGCCCCUGUGUAAACUCCUAAUUGGUUGCAGGAAUGCAAGGCCAAAAGGUUAGGUUUAAGGAGACUGGGGAGAGAGGUAGGAGUCCAGGUACCCCAGCCCCAGCUCUGCCCUCCAGGGACAUAAAGUUGGAGGGUGCCCAGUGAGGGGACUCAUGGGCUGUUCCUGCCGUGUGGGUAGAAGGUGAGCUGGGAAGAAGGAGCUUAGGGUCCAUUUGGGUGAGAUGGGGUGCCCUCACCUUCUUCCUGGCCCACCCUUCAGUUGCCCUAGCUGGAGCAUCACCAGGGCCCUUGCCAUAGCAGCAAGGCCCAGGUUUGGCUAGAAACACCCCGGCCUGGGUAUUUGCAGAGAGCUUGGUGGUUACUCAUUGCCUAAUUUGAUUCAAGCCAGCCAGAUUGUGGUAACUUUUGGGUGACCCUGAUGAAGACAAAGCCGGCAUUCGGCCUUUGUAUGGUAGAGUCCUCGCUCCCGCGGGCUGGGCGAGCAGGAGUCCUGCCUGCCUGGGGUUCUCUGCCCAACUCAGAAACCACUUAUUCCACCCACUUUUGGUGCCAUACACCCUGAAAGAUAUGUGGAUUCAUUCCCCCUUGAUCUGUGCCCAUUUGGGGGACUGAUUUCAGGCAGGGUGAGUGGAGAGGGCAUUGGAGGUUAGCAGAGUCAGUGGCGGACAAAAGCUGGGCUUACCUGUGGGGAAUGAGGGUGCUGAGAUUAGAACUACAUUAACAUCUGGUAGGGACCCUCAAAUGUGCCUCGGCAAGUCACUUGAUUACACGUAUGUUAUUUAGUUAAAUUUGCGAAAAUUAUAAGAUGCUCACCAACCCGGUGAUAAACUCACUCCCUCGCUAUUGGCUGGCGUGGUCACAUGGCCGCCAACUUUAUUCAGUUGACAGCAAGUAGGAGGGCCCUAUGGAA